AUUGAACGCUGGCGGCAUGCCUUACACAUGCAAGUCGAACGGUAACAGGUCUUCGGAUGCUGACGAGUGGCGAACGGGUGAGUAAUACAUCGGAACGUGCCCGAUCGUGGGGGAUAACGAAGCGAAAGCUUUGCUAAUACCGCAUAAGAUCUACGGAUGAAAGCAGGGGACCGCAAGGCCUUGUGCGAACGGAGCGGCCGAUGGCAGAGUAGGUAGUUGGUGGGAUAAAAGCUUACCAAGCCGAUGAUCUGUAGCUGGUCUGAGAGGACGACCAGCCACACUGGGACUGAGACACGGGCCAGACUCCUACGGGAGGCAGCAGUGGGGAAUUUUGGACAAUGGGCGAAAGCCUGAUCCAGCCAUGCCGCGUGCAGGAUGAAGGCCUUCGGGUUGUAAACUGCUUUUGUACGGAACGAAAAGACUCUUUCUAAUAAAGAGGGUCCAUGACGGUACCGUAAGAAUAAGCACCGGCUAACUACGUGCCAGCCGCCGCAGUAACAC
rnacentral:rRNA from 1 species